AUUGAACGCUGGCGGCAGGCCUAACACAUGCAAGUCGAGCGGAGCGGCGGACGGGUGAGUGCUGCCUAGGAAGUUGCAUGGUGGUGGGGGAUCCCGCCCGGAAACGGGCGCUAAUACCGCAUACUCUCAGAUGAGCUUAGGUCGGAUUAGCUAGUUGGUGGGGUAAAGGACUACCAAGGCGACGAUCCGUCACCGGGCUGAGAGGAUGAUCAGUCACACUGGAACUGAGACACGGUCCAGACUCCUACGGGAGGCAGCAGUGGGGAAUAUUCGGCAAUGGGCGAAAGCCUGAUCCAGCCAUGCCGCGUGUGUGAAGAAGGUCUUCGGAUCGGAAAGCACUUUAAUUUGGGAGGCGUUACCAACAGAAUAAGCACCGGCUAACUUCGUGCCAGCAGCCGCGGUAAUUC
rnacentral:rRNA from 1 species